UCUUUGGAGGGGUGUCUGUAUAGAUUAUCACUAAAGUAGUAAUCUUGAUUUUUUUUUUCAUAGAUUACCAUCAAAGUAGUAAUCUGGAUUUUUUUUUUUUAACAAAAGUACCCUCAUCUAAAACCCUACCUUUGCCUCUAUUCUGGCUGUUGGUCUUCUUCCCUCUUCUCCUUGUGAAACGCUGGCACCAUAGAGGCUCCUCCCUCGCCGACAACAAGGACUCCCAUGCCACCUCCGACGCCGUCGACGACUUUUUCAACAUUCUCCGACUCUCUCUCCAACCAAGAUAUGAAUAUGGAUGCCAGUGAAAGUCAGAGAGGGACUUAGAAUAGUAAUCGGGGAAAGAAGCAUCAAUGGACAAUGGAGCAAGAUGCUUUGCUAAUUGAUUGCAUGCUUGACUUGAAAAAUGACCCUUUCUGGAGUGCUGGAGAAGGUAACAAUUUCAAACCUGGAUUCCUAUUGCAUGCAGUUUGAGAAAAUGAUGGAAGCAAAAUCACGUGGAUGCGGUCUCAAGGCUCGGCCGCAUAUUCAUUCAAGGCAUAAACUGUUGAAGACAUAGUACAAUGCUAUUUAUGAUAUGUUGUAUCAGGCAUCCGAAUUUGGAUGGGAUACAACUAGGUGUUGUGUGACCUGAGAGCAAGAAGUAUGGGACCAGUGGGUUAAGAGUCAUCCAACUACAGCUGGCCUUCAUAACAAGCUAUUUCCUCAUUAGAAGAGUCUUUCGAUCAUAUUUGAAAAAGAUCGAGCAACAGGUCAGAGGGCCGAAGAUCCUACAAAUGUGACAGCUGACAUUCUCGCAGAUACUAUCAAGCUCGAUGAGGAGGUCCAGUUUAGAAGUCAUGAAGGCUUUGAGAGUGAUAGCCCAGCACCCCAACCACCGGUCAACAAUACACAACAUCAGAGCAACUCUUCAGUCCAAAACCAAUCCACCUCUAGAAAGAGGAAAGCUAAUACAGAGGAAGCUCUCAUAGGCUCUUUAAUUGAGUCGGUGAAGAAUAUUGGCACUUUGUGCGAGGAUACGAGUCAAGGCAUUCGAGAUGUAGCAAAUUAUUUCAAGAACCUCUCUACUUGCAGUGAGUUCUAGCAAAAGGUUUAUGGAGGAUUACUUGCUAUUGAGGAUUUGGGUCUAGAUGAGUCACAGAUGGUUGAAGUAGGAGAGAUCAUUGCACACGAUCCCUAUAUUUCGAAGUACUUGUUUUCAUUGCCCAUGAGUGCGAGGAAAACAUAUGUGUUGAAGAAGCUUGGUUUAAUAUGAGUAACAUGCCUCAAUAUUUAUUUUAGAGAAUGAUAGUAGCUUCUUUAGUAGUGAUGGUUGUCGUUUCGAUGACUUUAUAUGCAGGAAAGCGGUUCUUUAUCUGUUUGUUUAGAUACUUUGGACUAGUUAACUUAUGGAUGGUUACUAUAUUUAUCAUCUAAUUAGUUGGUUAUUUUUAUGUUAUUUUGAACGUUGAUAUACUUUUGAGUAUUUGGACCUAUUCUCAUGUCAAUUGAUAAUUUUUGGAUUUGAAUAUGUUUAUUUUUGUGAUGUGUAGUUGUUCCAACAAACUACAAAGUUUCUUGCUAAUAUUUGAUUUUUGUUUGUUUUUUCUUUAUUUGCUAUACUUGCCUCAUUUCAAUUGUGUCAUAGUCUAUAUUGCAGAGUAUUCAGUGUUAUUGGUUAUACAUUUUUCAAUUUGCUUUUGCUGACUUCAAGUUCAGUGUCUUGCUUUAUAUGCCACAAUGUCAUCGUAUGCCUGUCCUUGCUCCAUUUUCUGUUGCAGGUCAUCCAGCCAAUGGGAAAGAUAGGUUAAACGACAUUUUGCUUGGCUAUGGCAGGUCUCUAUACGUCUCAUACUUCAGCAGCUUCUACAGCUUAUUUCAAAUGGGUUAAAUGGGCUCAACUUUUAUGUUGCUUUAAGUCUUCAUUUGCAUGCAACUUCAUUGGGAGAAACGAACAAGUAUCUGUGAGAAAGAACAAGUAUCUGUUAUUGUACUUGAUAGCAUCUUUGCAAGUUCAUGAAGUUGUAUAUGAACAGAGUUCAAUUUAUUUCUUAUUUGAUGUGCAUUGGUCUUCACAUA